UUAAGGAUGCACAUGUCCGCCUUUUCCAGGGACAUCAUCUUGGUCUUGAUCUCUAGAGAUGUAUAGCCCAUGUGCAGGCCCUCGUCGCUCAGCUCUCCUUCACUGCUGUAGGCCGGGUUUAUGAUGUUAGUCUUGACCCGCUCCAUCGGGGCUGGACGGAACAGGGCAGGAAUAGCGUGCGCCACCGUGUGCUGUUCCGCCAACCAUCUGCGGAGGAACAAGGACUUAGUUCCAAGAAGGGUCUUCAGCAUCUUUUCCACUGGCCUUACUUGUCUAGGGCCAGUAGCAUCUUGGAGGUGGUGGAGCAGAAGGGAACCUCCGAAAGCAGAAUCUUCACCGGCAGACGGUGAAACACAAGAGGAGAAUAUGAGACAGGGUUUCUGCUGUGAAUGCUGUGAAUGCUUUAUCAUGCGUUGAUGGCUUCCUGUGUGUUUACUCCUGUCAUUUGGUUUUGCUGUGUGGUUUUAAUGUAGGCGUUGCUGUGCUUGCAGAUGUACUUCACCAGUUCGCCGUGCAUGAGUGCACAUAGUUCUCUUUUACCUCAUAGGCUUUUGCUCUGUACUCUUUGGAGCUCAGGCUGACUUGACUCUUGGGGCGAAUGACAGCGACAAACACCUCAUCGAAGAUGUCCUCAUUGCCCAUGGUGAAGGCUUUCCCUCAGUCUCGACCACACCUCCAGGCAAAGGGCCAUAUGCUGUGGAGAGGCAUAUCUGCAGCCUGAAAUACGAGGACAGGAUUCUGUUUCAGUUAAAGAACAGGAGUGGUCCAUACCGCAGAGUUGGGGACCUGAGUGAGGUCAAGAGGACCUUCAUGAGCUGAGGUCUCCUCAGAUGAACAAGGUCAGAAGGAGAGACAGACUCUCUUCCCUGCAUCACAUCUGGACAGCGAGGAAGAAGCUCCAUCACCACAAAAGACGAAAAAGUGGAUUUGCUGAUUUUGACUUUGCAGCUGCUUGAGAAAUAAAAC